GAAGGAAGGAAGGAAGGAAGGAAGGAAGGAAGGAAGGAAGGAAGGAAGGAAAUUAAAACUGAAGGAAAGAAGAGAGGAACAAAAGAAAGGAAAGAAUGAAGAAAAUGAAAGAAAGAAGGAAAGAAAGCCAGUGAUGCAAAGGCAAUUGCUCACCACCUCCCACAAGUAGAUCAACACCCAGCCAGCUCCCAGUCUAAAGCCUUCUGCCCACCACCAAUCCAUUCACUGAGCCAAGGCACUGACAACCAGAGAAGACCUUGUCACUGUGCAGUUCCUGCUCAGCAAUAUCUGUAACACUAGUUUGAGCUUCUGCUAUUGUGGUUGUUUUGGCCACAGGUCUAAACCAUUGCACCACACAGGAAAGCUGGGAAGAAAAUUAACUCCAUCUCAGGCAGUGUCAGUACACACAGAUGGAAGGAGAUCACAACAGGGAUGAAGAGUGGAGAGACAAAAAUCACAGACUACACAUCAGAAAAUGACAUGCUUCAAACCAACAGAGUAACAAUCACCAUUGUGCAGCACUGCUCCAUGGUUUUUUACUUUUACACUGAGGACUGGAGUUUGGCCUUGGAAGCACUAAUGAGUGACCUAGUGGUGCAGAGCUGUCAAGGAUCAUCUGUCAUUUCAGACACAGAACUCAGAUGCUGUGAUUCAUGGCCUGUGUUUGGUGUCAACAGGAACAUUGUCCCAGUAAUGACAAACAAUUCAGCCUGCAUGUCCUUCUGCCCACCUGAGCAGCUCCCAUGGUAAGUGAGCUAGCAGCUGCGUUUCAUGGCUCUUCCAAGAACGAUUUGACAAGAAGAUUUGCUUUCCCUUGUUCAGAACACAUCAGAUAGAUGGCCAGUACUUCCUUUCUUGUUGCAAGUCCCAGCUCCUGAGGUAUGCUCUGUGAUGCUUCAGUAGAGUCCUUCAUUAAGUAUACUUUUGUCUUAAUUGGACUGAGAUCAUGUAUCUGUAUUUUACAGUAGCAGUUCAUCAUGUGAUGCAAAUAAGGCAUACAAAGAAAAAUGAUAUUUGUAAAAACGUAUUUGCAAUACCAAAAAGAAUGCCAGGAAGGAAAUUUGUAAUAAAAGAUGUAGGAUUUAUGGCUCCUUUUUUGCUUCACAUCCUAAUCUAAUUAUGAACUCCUUCGAACGGCAGUUCCCUUGUGACGCUCAUUUAAGAGAAGUAAUAACCAGUGCAAUGAUUAAAACCAACAUUGUAGAACUACUCCAUCAUACCCAAGAUCCAAAUCCAUCACAGAGCUGUCUGAUCUGAUCUGCUGGUGCCCAGCCCCCGGGUAUUAAAUACCUUCUCUGGCUGAUAUAAUUAUGUACAUUUGAUAAAUUUAUGUAUUCCUGCUUUUUUUCAAGUUGAAAAAUGCUUCAUUUUGAACAAAGUCUUCCAACAUGAGCUAAAAUGGAAGCAGCAUAAUGCUUUUCUUCGGGCAGCCCCACCCCACAGCUCCUCCCUGCAGCUGCUGGC
ensembl:lncRNA